rnacentral:rRNA from 1 species
UACGAAGGGUGCAAGCGUUACUCGGAAUUACUGGGGCGUAAAGCGUGCGUAGGUGGUUCGUUAAGUCUGAUGUGAAAGCCCUGGGCUCAACCUGGGAAUGGCAUUGGAAACUGGCGAUCUAGAGUGCGGUAGAGGGUAGUGGAAUUCCCGGUGUAGCAGUGAAAUGCGUAGAGAUGCGGAGGAACACCGAUGGCGAAGGCAGCCCCCUGGGCUAGCACUGACGCUCAGGCACGAAAGCACGGGGAGGCAAACAGGG